UCGUUUGCCUGAGUCAUUUGGUGUUGUUUUUUUCGCACUUUCGGUAGCACAUUCUAACAUUAGAUUCAUACCCGUCUUCCAAACUGAUUGUAUUUAAAAUAUCUCGAACAGAAAUUGUUAGUCAGUUAAAAUCGAAACUGCAGACAUCAUCAAACGUGUUUUAAAAAUUCUAAAAUGGAGAACACACAAAUUACAGCGAAUGUGAUGUCCACGGAGGACUCAGUGAUUCCUGGAAAAAUAUUACAGUACGAGCAGGCCGUUAGAAGCAUCACCGGGACGAAGCUUCCAGAGUUUUCGGGGAAUCCCGAAGAAUGGAACUACUUCCGUGUGUGUUUCGAAAAAUCGACUGCAGCUUGGGGAUUCACCAAUGAAGAUAAUCUAAUUAGACUGAAGGACAGUAUAAAAGAGCCAGCACUUGAUCUCGUACAAGGGCUACUCACGCAUCCGAACCUGGUACCAAAGGCAAUGAGUGAGUUGGAAAAAAUAUGUGGAAAUUCGUGGUUUCUUAUUGUUUGUCGCUUAAUGGAUAUAGCACAAAUGGAAAAUCCCGAUCCCAAGAAUAGCUUUUCCUGUACGCAAUUCGCACGUGCCAUAUCACAUCUGCAAUAUCUACUGGAUGAGAUCGAUAUUGACGAUAAAGACAUACUAGACGAAUAUCUUGUUAAGUUCCAAUGCAAACUAACUCCAGAGUUAUUAAGCGAGUGGACUAAACGAAAAAAGUUAUUAACGUUAAAAAAUUUCUGCGAAUUUAUUAAGGAGAGAUUUUCAAAGGAUAGCAUUACAUGUUUCAUAAGAGCUUUCAAUAACAACGAAUCUUCUCAAUCACAACCUGAUGCCAAAAAAGCGUGUUCUACUACAAUGGUUGAAAAAGGAUGCAACACAGUUAAAAUGACAUGUUACAUGUGCCACAGCUAUGAACAUCCAUUAUGGCAUUGUCGCGAUUUUAAGCAGAUGAACCUUAGAACUCGCACAUUUUUGGUUCGAGCAUGGAAACACUGUACCAUUUGUUUACGGGAUCAUUUUACCGAAGAAUGUACCAGCAGCAUUCGUUGUAAUGUUGGAACAUGCCGCGCGAAGCACAACGGUAUGCUGCAUGUUAACGAGAUGGGACAAUUCGAAAUAGGGGACGACAUUGACCUGUUCUAAUUUCGAAAGAGUGUAUACAGAAUUUUUUGUUCAAUUAUGAAUGAAAUCUUGGCUUAUACAGAACUAUUGGACUCUUGGCAAUAAUAUAGCCUGAAUAAAUGCAGACGAAUUUCGCCGGAAGUGGAACCAGCUGCCAGUUCAUCAGCUUCGAACAGAAAGUUUUGUACUACAUACACAAUAUACGAAACGGCAAGCAAAUCUAGAUAAGUUGUAUAUUCUGUAGAAUUAAGUUGAAAUAUAUUUCUUUUGAGGCAAGAUCA